rnacentral:rRNA from 1 species
GUUAUCGUUUAUUUGAUAGUACCUUACUACUUGGAUAACCGUGGUAAUUCUAGAGCUAAUACAUGCUGAAAACCCCAACUUCGGGAGGGGUGUAUUUAUUAGAUAAAAAACCAACGCCCUUCGGGGCUUCUUGGUGAUUCAUGAUAACUUCACGGAUCGCAUGGCCUUGCGCCGGCGACGGUUCAUUCAAAUUUCUGCCCUAUCAACUUUCGAUGGUAAGGUAUUGGCUUACCAUGGUUUCAACGAGUAACGGGGAAUUAGGGUUCGAUUCCGGAGAGGGAGCCUGAGAAACGGCUACCACAUCCAAGGAAGGCAGCAGGCGCGCAAAUUACCCAAUCCCGACACGGGGAGGUAGUGACAAUAAAUACUGAUACAGGGCUCUUUUGGGUCUUGUAAUUGGAAUGAGUACAAUUUAAACCUCUUAACGAGGAACAAUUGGAGGGCAAGUCUGGUGCCAGCAGCCGCGGUAAUUCCAGCUCCAAUAGCGUAUAUUAAAGUUGUUGCAGUUAAAAAGCUCGUAGUUGAAACUUGG